GCGGCCUUAGCUCAGCUGGGAGAGCGUCAGACUGAAGUCUCAACUUCAAGUCUCUUGAUAUCUGAAGGUCGUGUGUUCGAUCCACACAGGCCGCA
rnacentral:tRNA from 1 species